GACGAACGCUGGCGGCGUGCCUAAUGCAUGCAAGUCGCACGCAGAGUGCUUGCACUCUGAGUGGCGCACGGCUGAGGAACACGUGGGCAUCUGCCCGUCCGUGGGGGAUAACUCGGCGAAAGCCGCGCUAAUCCCGCAUACGCUCCGGCAACGGAGGAAAGCAGCAAUGCGCGGUCGGAGGAGCCUGCGGCCCAUCAGGUAGUUGGCGGGGUAACGGCCCACCAAGCCCGUGACGGGUAGCUGGUCUGUGAGGACAACCAGCCAGACUGGGACUGAGACACGGCCCAGACUCCUACGGGAGGCAGCAGCAAGGAAUUUUCGGCAAUGGGGGCAACCCUGGCCGAGCAACGCCGCGUGGAGGAUGACGGCCUUCGGGUUGUAAACUCCUUUUGCGGGGGACGACAUCGACUGUACCCCGCGAAUCAGGCUCGGCUAACUCUGUGCCAGCCGCCGCAGUAAAAC
rnacentral:rRNA from 1 species